rnacentral:misc_RNA from 1 species
AUUUUCCUCUAGGGUUUCAACACGAUGCAACCGGCGGCAAGUUCAAUGGUUCCACCACCAAUGGCGGCGCAACCACAGUACCAACAGCAGUGGAUGGCUCAGCAGCCGCAGUACCAGGUUCUGCCACCGCAGGCCGGUUAUUAUUACCAACCACCACCGCAGCAGGGUGGCGGAGUACCCCCACCGCAGCAGCAACAACAACAAUCUCAGUACACGGCUUCAGCUCAGCCGACCAGUGCUGAUGAAGUCCGGACGCUUUGGAUUGGAGAUCUACAGUUUUGGAUGGAU